UGAGGCUUCUUCCUUCUCUGCACAAACUCCGAGUGUCUCAGGGUGCUGGGAGCCGUGCGGCGGAAGCAGCUAUUCCUUCCCCACGGCUCUGAACCAGGUCGUUGGGAUUAUAAAUCGGAUCCUUACACUCUACACAGCCAUUCACCGUCCCACAUCCUCCAGCCUCCAGGAUCCCAGCCGGGCUUCCCGCAAGUGAACGCCUCUCUGUCCCAGGC
rnacentral:lncRNA from 1 species